rnacentral:rRNA from 1 species
UACGUAGGGUGCGAGCGUUGUCCGGAAUUAUUGGGCGUAAAGAGCUCGUAGGCGGUUUGUCGCGUCGGCCGUGAAAACUUGGGGCUUAACUCCAAGCUGCGGUCGAUACGGGCAGACUUGAGUACUGCAGGGGAGACUGGAAUUCCUGGUGUAGCGGUGGAAUGCGCAGAUAUCAGGAGGAACACCGAUGGCGAAGGCAGGUCUCUGGGCAUUAACUGACGCUGAGGAGCGAAAGCAUGGGGAGCGAACAGG